AAAGAUUUAGUUAAAUUAUAACAUUAACUUGUCAUGUUAAAAUUAUUAAAAUAAUAAUCUUUA
rnacentral:tRNA from 1 species